UUUUUACAGGGAGUUUUGCUUGGGCGUUGUCAAGUCUUUUGGAAAUAAGCUGACUCCGCCAAAGCCGCGCGGGUAAAGAACGGAUAACCAAUGAAAUGGUCCCUGUAGCGCUGAGGAGCGCAGACUCGUCUGUAGCAGGGGGAGGGACACCAAACACAGACCCACAGGCUGUGUGAGCACUGCAGACACGCGUGGAAGUCUCUUGACACAGGGGUUGUACCAACAGACUGGAAAAUAGCACACGUAAUACCGAUCCACAAAAAGGAAGACAAAACCGAACCAGAGAUGCAGACGGAGCGUGCAAAGAGGAUGGACUCUGCAGGAGAAGAAGCGUCCCUGAAUUCACCUGAGCUGCCCUGGAACCAGUAAGACCCCCGAUCCAGUAUUGUACUCCAGGGUUUCUUUUCUCUUAGCUUCAAUGUGUGCCCUUCUCGUCCUGCUCUCUGCGCUGAGUUUGAUGCGUCACUUUCUCCCCUUCUUGUCUUCUGUUCUGUUUCAAGUUUCUGCUCACUAUUGAACUUGUUUCAUUGGCACCGGAUCACAUCAGGCAGCCUGGGAGCAAACUGUCCCAGUGAGUGUCCGAGUCAUAAAUGUGCUGAACCCUGCGUGUGUGUUUAUAACCCUGUGUGUGUGUUUAGAACCCUGUGUGUUUAGAACCCUGCGUGUGUGUUUAGAACCCUGUGUGUAUGUUUAGAACCCUGCGUGUGUGUUUAGAACCCUGUGUGUUUAGAACCCUGCGUGUGUGUGUUUAUAACCCUGUGUGUGUGUUUAGAACCCUGCGUGUGUGUUUUUAACCCUGUGUGUCAUUUUUCUACUCUGCGUGUGCGUGGGAGUGUGUGUGUGUGUGUGUGUGUGUGUGUUUGUGUGUGUGUUUAUAACCUUGUUGCUCCCUGUGUGUGUGUGUGUGUGACAAAUGUUUGUUUUAUUUAUUUCUUAGCAGACGCCCUUAUCCAAACAAAAACACAUUUCAAGAAUCACAGUAUAAGUAUUUAUACAAUUAAGAGCAAGAUAAAAUACAAUCACUUAUAAGAGUAUGACAAAAUACAAUUCAAUAACGGAGCAGAUAAGUGUCACUGAUAGUUACAUCAGGAUACGAUUAAAUACAAAAUACUACAGAUUAAAUAACACUUGUGACAGAUUAGUCUCUAAAGUACAGAAUUUAAUGUAGUAAUAUAGGGAGCUGAGAAAAGCAAGUAAAGCACAUUUAAGGAGAAUUGAUAAGUGUCCAGAGCGAAAAGAGGAGUUCUACAGGUGCUGUCUGAAGAGGUGAGUCUUGAGGAGGUGCCGGAAGGUUUUUCCAGAAUUAUUUUUUCAGCUUUAAUUCCUAACGACAAAGAUUGAACUUACUUAAAAAUGCUGAGAGAUCGUGUAUUUCGGCUUGAUCUGUUAGUGAAAUGUUGGAUGAUGAGUGUAAAAUAAAGAUUGAAGUUCCAUGUAUUUUUUCAUGGAUUUAUUUGUUAGAUUCCCAGAUUUAACGUGUCAGCUAAAUGUUGACUCAACAAGUAUUUUUUUUUUUUUUAAAAAGACAAAACAUUUUUUCCAGAUUUAAUUGUCAUGUUGACUUUAAAUGUUGAAUUUGUUUUGCAUUUUCAAUAUUUAUAAAUUAUAACUGAAA